UACGGAGGGGGCUAGCGUUGUUCGGAUUUACUGGGCGUAAAGAGCUCGUAGGCGGCUCGUCGCGUCGACCGUGAAAACCCGCGGCUUAACUGCGGGCUUGCGGUUGAUACGGGCGGGCUAGAGUUCGGUAGGGGAGACUGGAAUUCCUGGUGUAGCGGUGAAAUGCGCAGAUAUCAGGAGGAACACCGGUGGCGAAGGCGGGUCUCUGGGCCGAUACUGACGCUGAGGAGCGAAAGCGUGGGGAGCGAACAGG
rnacentral:rRNA from 1 species